UACAGAGGGUGCAAGCGUUAAUCGGAGUUACUGGGCGUAAAGGGCGCGUAGGCGGUCUGAUGUGUGAGAUGUGAAAUCCCCGGGCUCAACCUGGGAACUGCAUCUUAAACUGUCAGGCUGGAGUACUGUAGAGGAUAGUGGAAUUUCCGGUGUAGCGGUGAAAUGCGUAGAGAUCGGAAGGAACACCAGUGGCGAAGGCGACUGUCUGGACAGAUACUGACGCUGAGGCGCGAAAGCGUGGGGAGCAAACAGG
rnacentral:rRNA from 1 species